GCUUGCACCUUUCAAGCGAGUGGCGAACGGGUGAGUAACACGUGGAUAACCUGCCUCAAGGCUGGGGAUAACAUUUGGAAACAGAUGCUAAUACCGAAUAAAACUUAGUAUCGCAUGAUACAAAGUUGAAAGGCGCUACGGCGUCACCUAGAGAUGGGUCCGCGGUGCAUUAGUUAGUUGGUGGGGUAAAGGCCUACCAAGACAAUGAUGCAUAGCCGAGUUGAGAGACUGAUCGGCCACAUUGGGACUGAGACACGGCCCAAACUCCUACGGGAGGCUGCAGUAGGGAAUCUUCCACAAUGGGCGAAAGCCUGAUGGAGCAACGCCGCGUGUGUGAUGAAGGCUUUAGGGUCGUAAAGCACUGUUGUAUGGGAAGAAAUGCUAGAAUAGGGAAUGAUUCUAGUUCGACGGUACCAUACCAGAAAGGGACGGCUAAAUACGUGCCAGCAGCCGCGGUAAUACGUAUGUCCCGAGCGUUAUCCGGAUUUAUUGGGCGUAAAGCGAGCGCAGACGGUUGAUUAAGUCUGAUGUGAAAGCCCGGAGCUCAACUCCGGAAUGGCAUUGGAAACUGGUUAACUUGAGUGUUGUAGAGGUAAGUGGAACUCCAUGGGUAG
rnacentral:rRNA from 1 species